rnacentral:rRNA from 1 species
UCGAACGCGAGAGGAGCUUCGGCUCCAAUUGAGUGGCGAACGGGUGAGUAACACGUGGGUGACCUACCUUCGAGUGGGGGAUAACGUUUCGAAAGGGACGCUAAUACCGCAUAAUAUCCCGCCUUUGGACAGGCGGUGAUCAAAGCCGGGGAUCGCAAGACCCGGCGCUUGUUGAGGGGCCCGCGUCCGAUUAGCUAGUUGGUGGGGUAACGGCUCACCAAGGGUACGAUGGGUAGCUGGUCUGAGAGGACGGUCAGCCACACUGGAACUGAGACACGGUCCAGACUCC